GACGAACGCUGGCGGCGUGCUUAACACAUGCAAGUCGAACGGAAAGGCCCCUUUGGGGGUACUCGAGUGGCGAACGGGUGAGUAACACGUGAGUAACCUGCCCUUGACUUCGGGAUAACUUCAGGAAACUGGGGCUAAUACCGGAUAGGAAUCCUUGCUGCAUGGUGGGGGUUGGAAAGCUUCGGCGGUUUUGGAUGGACUCGCGGCUUAUCAGCUUGUUGGUGGGGUAGUGGCUUACCAAGGCUUUGACGGGUAGCCGGCCUGAGAGGGCGACCGGCCACAUUGGGACUGAGAUACGGCCCAGACUCCUACGGGAGGCAGCAGUGGGGAAUAUUGCACAUUGGGCGGAAGCCUGAUGCAGCAACGCCGCGUGCGGGAUGACGGCCUUCGGGUUGUAAACCGCUUUCAGCAGGGGCGAAGCUUGUGGUGACGGUACCUGCAGAAGAAGCACCGGCUAACUACGUG
rnacentral:rRNA from 1 species